rnacentral:rRNA from 1 species
ACGCGAAAGUUAUCUUCGCAUGGCGAUAAGAGUGGCAGACGGGUGAGUAUGCAUAGGUAAUCUACCUUUGAGUGGGGGACAACAUGCCGAAAGGCAUGCUAAUCCCGCAUAACAUCCCGCAACAUAAGUUGUGUGAUCAAAGGGGGGGAUUCUUCGGAACCUCUCGCUUGAAGAUGAGCCUGUGUCCUAUUAGCUAGUUGGUAGGGUAAUGGCCUACCAAGGCUCUGAUGGGUAGCCGAGCUGAGAGGCUGAUCGGCCACACUGUAACUGAUACACGGUCCAGACUCCUACGGGAGGCAGCAGUGGGGAAUUUUGCGCAAUGGGCGAAAGCCUGACGCAGCGACGCCGCGUGAGGGAUGAAGGUCUUCGUGAUCGU